rnacentral:rRNA from 1 species
UGACGGUACUCAACAAGGAAGUGACGGCUAACUACGUGCCAGCAGCCGCGGUAAAACGUAGGUCACAAGCGUUGUCCGGAAUUACUGGGUGUAAAGGGAGCGCAGGCGGGCGAUCAAGUUGGAAGUGAAAUCCAUGGGCUCAACCCAUGAGCUGCUUUCAAAACUGAUUGUCUUGAGUAGUGCAGAGGUAGGCGGAAUUCCCGGUGUAGCGGUGGAAUGCGUAGAUAUAUGGAAGAACACCGGUGGCGAAGGCGGCCGUCUGGUCUGUUGCUGACACUGAAGCACGAAAGCGUGGGGAGCAAAUAGGAUUAGAUACCCUAGUAGUCCACGCCGUAAACGAUGAGAACUAGGUGUUGGGGGAAUAACUCAGUGCCGCAGUUAACGCAAUAAGUUCUCCGCCUGGGGAGUAUGCACGCAAGUGUGAAACUCAAAGGAAUUGACGGGGGCCCGCACAAGCGGUGGAGUAUGUGGUUUAAUUCGAAGCAACGCGAAGAACCUUACCAGGCCUUGACAUCCCUUGCAGAGGUAUAGAGAUAUAUCCGAGGUUACCAAGGAGACAGGUGGUGCAUGGUUGUCGUCAGCUCGUGUCGUGAGAUGUUGGGUUAAGUCCCGCAACGAGCGCAACCCUUGUGAUAUGUUACUAACAUUGAGUUGAGGACUCAUAUCAGACUGCCGGUGAUAAACCGGAGGAAGGUGGGGAUGACGUCAAAUCAUCAUGCCCCUUAUGGCCUGGGCUACACACGUACUACAAUGGCGUCUACAAAGAGCGGCAAGCCUGUGAAGGCAAGCGAAUCUCAUAAAGGACGUCUCAGUUCGGAUUGAAGUCUGCAACCCGACUUCAUGAAGCUGGAAUCGCUAGUAAUCGCGAAUCAGCAUGUCGCGGUGAAUACGUUCUCGGGCCUUGUACACACCGCCCGUCAA